UGUGGGCUCAGAGGCAGAGCUCUGGGUGUCACCAUGGCCUGGACCCCUCUCCUGCUCCCCCUCCUCACUCUCUGCACAGGUUCUGUGGCCUCUCAGCUGACUCAGGUGCCUGCAGUGUCUGUGGCCUUGGGACAGACGGCCAGGAUCACCUGCCAGGGAGACAGCUUAAGGAGCUAUUAUGCAAACUGGUACCAGCAGAAGCCAGGCCAGGCCCCUGUGCUGCUCAUCUAUGGUGACAACCAGCGGCCGUCAGGGAUCCCUGAGCGAUUCUCUGGCUCCAAAUCGGGCAACACGGCCACGCUGACCGUCAGCGGGGCCCAGGUCGAGGAUGAGGCUGAUUAUUACUGCGGCUCAUAUGCGGGCAGCGGCACUUUCCACAUUGGUCCAAGUUCAUGGGGAAGUGAGACCAAAACCUGCCCUGUGCUCACAGGCUCUCUCUCUGUUAGGAAGACGCUUCCUCUGCCCUGUCCAGAGGAGGCUUCAUGCACAUGACCUUGAGAAUUCUCUCCUCUCACCACCUCUCCCCUCUCCCACUGAGGUUCACAAAAUACCCUGCUCUCUGGUGGACUUUCUGUACCCAUGGUAGCCUCCUCUUAGAGAGGGUGACACGAUGAGUGAACAUGCAACUCUUGCUAACUUUUCCAUGUCCUGACGAGCAUGACCAGCAGACGCCUACUCAGUGCAGCUCCUGCAGUUCUCAGGGACAUCCUCACAGUAAGUGUCCCCACCUCCCCACUGGCAUGGCAGCCUGGACCCAGUUCUCCAGGCGUGGCCUUGUCUCUUUUAACUCUGUGUCCACCACGCUUGAGGCAGAAUCACCUCCUCGGUGGCUGUUCCACUGCACAUCUCUCCCAAGUGGCUGUAACUCAGGAUAGAUCUGAAAGUGUCGCAAAGGAAAGAAGACAAAGGGAAAGAUUG